GCGUUUAUUAUAGAUGGCAGCACCUAUACUAAAAUUGGACCGACACAGAUUAGCAUGGCCCCUGUUUAAGGAUGACAUGCAAAUGCGUUGAGUUCCAUAUUUUA